rnacentral:rRNA from 1 species
AGAACGAACGCUGGCGGCAUGCCUAACACAUGCAAGUCGAACGAGACCUUCGGGUCUAGUGGCGCACGGGUGCGUAACGCGUGGGAAUCUGCCCUUAGGUACGGAAUAACAGUGAGAAAUUACUGCUAAUACCGUAUGAUGUCUUCGGACCAAAGAUUUAUCGCCUAGGGAUGAGCCCGCGUAGGAUUAGCUAGUUGGUGGGGUAAAGGCCUACCAAGGCGACGAUCCUUAGCUGGUCUGAGAGGAUGAUCAGCCACACUGGGACUGAGACACGGCCCAGACUCCUACGGGAGGCAGCAGUGGGAAUAUUGGACAAUGGGCGAAAGCCUGAUCCAGCAAUGCCGCGUGAGUGAAGAAGGCCUUCGGGUUGUAAAGCUCUUUUACCCGGGUAAGAUAAUAGACUGUACCGGGAGAAUAAGACCCGGCUAACUCCGUGCCAGCAGCCGC